GAUGAACGCUGGCGGCAUGCUUAAUACAUGCAAGUCGGACGAGAAGUCGUGUUUCUUGCUGCGGACGGGUUAGUAACGCGUAAGAACCUGCCCUUUGGAGGGGAACAAUAUCUGGAAACGGUAGCUACUACCCCGCAGGCUGAGGAGCAAAAGGAGGAAUCCGCCCGAGGAGUGGCUUGUGGAUGAUUAACUAGCUGGCGCUGCCAUAGCUUACCAAGGCGAUGAUCAGUAUAUGUUCCGAGAGGAUGAUCGGCCACACUGGGACGGAGACACGGCCCAGGGUCCUACGGGAGACAGCAGUGGGGAAUUUGCAGCAAUGCGCGAAAGGCUAAGGGGGCCAUGCCGCGUGAAAGUAGAGGGCCCACGGGUCGUGAACUGCUUUAGCAGGAGAGGAAGCAAUGACGGUAUCUAGGGAAUAAGCAUCGGCUAACUCUGUG
rnacentral:rRNA from 1 species